rnacentral:lncRNA from 10 species
UUUUUCUUUUUUUCUUGAGACACAGCCUGGCUCUGUUGCCCAGGCUGUAGUGCAGUAGCCACCGCGCCCGGCCGAUUUUUCAUCGUUUGAUACAAACAGAAUCAUGCCAAAUGUCCGGAUCAGAUGUUUGUUUCAGUUUUAGGGUCUCUGACUGCCUUUUUAGGACUACAAGCAACACUCUUGCCAGUUCCUGGAACGGUGCUUGGUGGAGUAUCAGCUGAUGUAGCAAGAUUUUUUUGGAUCAGCUUUCUAGCAUUCUGUGACAUGACAUCAGGCUGAGUCUUCUGGCCAGUGUUACUCCGGACUGCUACAGAGAAAGAGUUGGUGGCUCAAUUUACAUGUAAACAGAACAUGGAGGGGG